ACGUGAAGGUAGUUUGUAAAUUUGAUUUCAGGGCUCCCUGUCACUUAAACGUGGAUAAACUUGCUUUACUUUUAAAGUAAGUGCUUCCAUGUUUUAGUGAUGGUGUUACCAAAAUUUCUUCGAUGU
rnacentral:pre_miRNA from 1 species